rnacentral:rRNA from 1 species
UGCAUAUCAAUAAGCGGAGGAAAAGAAACUAACAAGGAUUCCCCUAGUAACUGCGAGUGAAGCGGGAAAAGCUCAAAUUUAAAGUCUGGCGGCCUUUUGGCUGUCCGAGUUGUAAUCUAGAGAAGUGUUAUCCGCGCUGGACCGUGUACAAGUCUCCUGGAAUGGAGCAUCAUAGAGGGUGAGAAUCCCGUCUUUGACAUGGACUGCCAGGGCUUUGUGAUGCGCUCUCAAAGAGUCGAGUUGUUUGGGAAUGCAGCUCAAAAUGGGUGGUAAAUUCCAUCUAAAGCUAAAUAUUGGCGAGAGACCGAUAGCGAACAAGUACCGUGAGGGAAAGAUGAAAAGAACUUUGGAAAGAGAGUUAAACAGUACGUGAAAUUGCUGAAAGGGAAACGCUUGAAGUCCGUCAUGUCAUCCAGGGAUCAACCUUGCUUUUGCUUGGUGCACUUCCUGGUUUGACGGGCCAGCAUCAAUUUUGACCGUUGGAAAAAGGCUAGGGGAAUGUGGCAUCUCUGGAUGUGUUAUAGCCCUUGGUCACAUACAAUGGUUGGGAUUGAGGGACUCAGCACGCCGCAAGGCCGGGUGUUCGCACCACGUACGUGCUUAGGAUGCUGGCAAUAUGGCUUUAAUCGACCCG